rnacentral:rRNA from 1 species
UAGUAGUACGGAAUAAUUGUUGGAAACAGCAACUAAUACCGUAUACGCCCUACGGGGGAAAAAUUUAUUGCUAUUAGAUGAGCCUAUAUUGGAUUAGCUAGUUGGUGGAGUAACAGCCUACCAAGGCAAUGAUCUAUAGCUGAUCUGAGAGGAUGAUCAGCCACACUGGAACUGAGAUACGGUCCAGACUCCUACGGGAGGCAGCAGUGGGGAAUAUUGGACAAUGGGCGAAAGCCUGAUCCAGCCAUGCCGCAUGAGUGAAGAAGGCCUUUGGGUUGUAAAGCUCUUUUAGUGAGGAAGAUAAUGACGGUACUCACAGAAGAAGUCCUGGCUAACUCCGUGCCAGCAGCCGCGGUAAUACGGAGAGGGCUAGCGUUAUUCGGAAUUAUUGGGCGUAAAGGGCGCGUAGGCUGGUUAAUAAGUUAAAAGUGAAAUCCCGAGGCUUAACCUUGGAAUUGCUUUUAAAACUAUUAAUCUAGAGAUUGAAAGAGGAUAGAGGAAUACCUGAUGUAGAGGUAAAAUUCGUAAAUAUUAGGAGGAACACCAGUGGCGAAGGCGUCUAUCUGGUUCAAAUCUGACGCUGAAGCGCGAAGGCGUGGGGAGCAAACAGGAUUAGAUACCCUGGUAGUCCACGCUGUAAAC